CGAGCACUAUGUAAAUCUUCAUUGUUCGAGUAAAAGCUCAACAGAGUGUUAGUCACGUAGAUUUCUGAGAUAGAUUGUGAGGUUAUGAGCUUUGCAUGGAUCUGUUUACACUCAGCAAUUGAGCUCGAAUUUGAAUGCUUUUUCAGGAGUAGUGAUAUGGGUUCGGUCUCGGCGGAAAUGUGAAAAGAACGGCUAAAGAAUCCGGUCAUCGUCCGGCGAAACAUUC
rnacentral:lncRNA from 1 species